AUAGUACCGGGAGUAACUCACUGGCAAAGUCCAAAUUAUUUUGCUUACUAUCCCUCAAAUAGUAGCACUGCUGGAUUCCUGGGGGAGAUGCUUAGUGCUGCCUUUAACAUCGUUGGCUUCAGUUGGAUAACCUCUCCUGCUGCAACCGAGUUAGAGGUUAUAGUCUUAGACUGGUUUGCAAAAAUGCUUAAGCUUCCAAGCCAGUUUCUAUCAUCUGCGGUUGGUGGAGGAGUAAUCCAGGGUAGUGCCAGUGAAGCUGUCCUUGUUGUACUAUUGGCUGCACGAGAUAGAACCUUAGAAAUGCACGGGAAAAAAUCCCUUGAAAAAUUAGUAGUUUAUGCAUCUGAUCAGACACAUUCUGCUCUGCAAAAGGCAUGCCAGAUUGCAUGA
rnacentral:rRNA from 1 species